rnacentral:rRNA from 1 species
AUUGAACGCUGGCGGCAUGCCUUACACAUGCAAGUCGAACGGUAACGGGCCUUCGGGUGCCGACGAGUGGCGAACGGGUGAGUAAUGUAUCGGAACGUACCUUUCAGUGGGGGAUAACGUAGCGAAAGUUACGCUAAUACCGCAUAUUCUGUGAGCAGGAAAGCAGGGGAUCGCAAGACCUUGCGCUGAUUGAGCGGCCGAUAUCAGAUUAGCUAGUUGGUGAGGUAAAGGCUCACCAAGGCGACGAUCUGUAGCGGGUCUGAGAGGAUGAUCCGCCACACUGGAACUGAGACACGGUCCAGACUCCUACGGGAGGCAGCAGUGGGGAAUUUUGGACAAUGGGGGCAACCCUGAUCCAGCCAUGCCGCGUGAGUGAAGAAGGCCUUCGGGUUGUAAACCUCUUUCAAUAGGGACGAAGCGCAAGUGACGGUACCUAUAGAAGAAGGACCGGCCAACUACGUAGCCAGCAGCCGCGGU